rnacentral:rRNA from 1 species
GACGAACGCUGGCGGCGUGCCUAAUACAUGCAAGUAGAACGCUGAAGGAGGAGCUUGCUUCUCUGGAUGAGUUGCGAACGGGUGAGUAACGCGUAGGUAACCUGCCUGGUAGCGGGGGAUAACUAUUGGAAACGAUAGCUAAUACCGCAUAAGAGUAGAUGUUGCAUGACAUUUGCUUAAAAGGUGCAAUUGCAUCACUACCAGAUGGACCUGCGUUGUAUUAGCUAGUUGGUGGGGUAACGGCUCACCAAGGCGACGAUACAUAGCCGACCUGAGAGGGGGAUCGGCCACACUGGGACUGAGACACGGCCCAGACUCCUACGGGAGGCAGCAGUAGGGAUUCUUCGGCAAUGGACGGAAGUCUGACCGAGCAACGCCGCGUGAGUGAAGAAGGUUUUCGGAUCGUAAAGCUCUGUUGUAAGAGAAGAACGAGUGUGAGAGUGGAAAGUUCACACUGUGACGGUAUCUGACCAGAAAGGGACGGCUAACUACGUG